AGCUUUGCGCAGUGGCAGUAUCAUAGCCAAUGAGGUCCAACCGAGGCGUGAUUAUUGCUAAUUGUGCUGAAGCUGAGGCUUGAUGAAAGCGGAGGAGCUGUGUUCCUAUUAGGGAAGAGCUGCUGGCACAUGCUCCUUCUGCCUAAUCAUGCUUCACUUCCUUUGCCCCAGCCAUUAGGCGGCCGGGAGGU
rnacentral:snRNA from 1 species